rnacentral:lncRNA from 1 species
GGGGCAGUCUCUAAGAGCAUGGAGUGCAUAUUCAAUAGGACAAGGUUGCAUCUAAAGCGGCGAUUAUUGCAGGGGAGAGCGUCAUGAAGAACCAACUAGGACAGAAGUUUCACUUUCUCAGGGAUUUUUGCUUUCCAUAUAAGAGCCCAUUUGAAUUGAGAUUGAUGUAUAAUAGAAUAAUCAGAAAUGGAAGAAAUCCAGUUAUAGGCAGAAGUGAGAGUAUACAUACCACUUGUUGUUCCAGUCCAACAUUGAGUAUCAGGUAAAUGUCUUCCCG